UACGUAGGGGGCAAGCGUUGUCCGGAAUUAUUGGGCGUAAAGCGCGCGCAGGCGGUCAUUUAAGUCUGGUGUAUAAUCCUGGGGCUCAACCCCGGGCCGCAUCGGAAACUGGGUGACUGGAGUGUAGGAGAGGAAAGUGGAAUUCCACGUGUAGCGGUGAAAUGCGUAGAGAUGUGGAGGAACACCAGUGGCGAAGGCGGGUCUCUGGGCCGUAACUGACGCUGAGGAGCGAAAGCGUGGGGAGCGAACAGG
rnacentral:rRNA from 1 species